CUUCUUUUCUAUUCCAUUUAUAGUGAUCGUUCUUCUUCUAUUUCUUUGUAACGACUGCAACAGAAAAUAGGAAAAAGAAUUCUUACAAAUUGGUUUUCACAAGAGCAAAGUGGUAUGUGUAGUAUAGCGUUCAAAGUAGCAAACGAUGAUGAAAGUUCACUUAGGUCUUCGUUAGUCAUUUUACUGUCAAGUAAGAGAGAAACGGUCAAUGAUUAAACUGUGGUGUAUGAUGAAAGUUAAACUGUCAAAGGAAGUAUAAUUUGAAAGAGCUUCAGAGAGAUUCACUUGAAAAAUGUUAAACAAUUAAUAAUUGAGAAAUGCAGUUUACAACUAAAUAUAGUUAAUUAAGGAAGAAGAAGAAAGGAAUCAUUUUACCUCUUGGUGGAACAGGAGGUGCAGGCAUCUUCUUCGUGGCGCCAGUUUUUUGAUCCUGAGGAAUAUCGACGUUCAUGUAUUCUGGUAGUUUACCAGUAUCUAGCACGUCCACGCCUUCUGAAUCAUUCAUCAGUCUCGACCUUCGUCGAGUUCUUCGAGGCCUCAGACGCAUGGCUCAAGUCAAGUGAAUGCCUUUGCUCGGUCUGCUGACGUUGAA